AGGUCUAGUAUAGCACUUUAUACUGUGAACUGCGAAUGGCUCAUUAAAUCAGUUAUCGUUUAUUUGAUAGUACCUUACUACAUGGAUACCUGUGGUAAUUCUAGAGCUAAUACAUGCUAAAAACCCCGACUUCGGAAGGGGUGUAUUUAUUAGAUAAAAAACCAAUGCCCUUCGGGGCUCCUUGGUGAUUCAUAAUAACUUAACGAAUCGCAUGGCCUUGCGCCGGCGAUGGUUCAUUCAAAUUUCUGCCCUAUCAACUUUCGAUGGUAGGAUAGUGGCCUACCAUGGUGGCAACGGGUAACGGGGAAUUAGGGUUCGAUUCCGGAGAGGGAGCCUGAGAAACGGCUACCACAUCCAAGGAAGGCAGCAGGCGCGCAAAUUACCCAAUCCCGACACGGGGAGGUAGUACAAUAAAUACUGAUACGGGGCUCUUUUGGGUCUCGUAAUUGGAAUGAGUACAAUUUAAAUCCCUUAACGAGGAACAAUUGGAGGGCAAGUCUGGUGCCAGCA
rnacentral:rRNA from 1 species